ensembl:lncRNA
ACUUCUGGGCAUCAGCUGCUGGCAACUGCCUUGGUGAUGCCAUGGGCAUGGCACAGCAGGCACGAUAUUUGCAGAUCUUUGUGUCAAACACGCACUUGUGACAUGGCCAAUACUGGGAGGUCACAUGAAGUGCUGAAACCUUGUGCUAGCACAGGCCAGAGGAAAGCAGGAUGGUGAGCAGAGUCAGAGGUAAGAGACCAGAUACAUGGCAUGGAAGGGAAGGUCAGGGACCUGGCCAAGGUGUAAGAGAUAGCUGUGAUGCUGCAGAUUGUGUGUCCACUUGCUUUGUCUUGGACAGCCAGAGGCCCAGAG